rnacentral:rRNA from 1 species
UACGGAGGGGGCGAGCGUUAUUCGGAAUUACUGGGCGUAAAGCGUGCGCAGGCGGUUUUGUAAGCCAGAUGUGAAAUCCCCGGGCUUAACCUGGGAAUGGCAUUUGGGACUGCAAGGCUUGAGUGCGGCAGAGGAGACUGGAAUUCCUGGUGUAGCAGUGAAAUGCGUAGAUAUCAGGAGGAACACCGAUGGCGAAGGCAGGUCUCUGGGCUGACACUGACGCUCAUGCACGAAAGCGUGGGGAGCAAACAGG